CUACAUACAUUUCAACAAAACCAUUAUACACUGAUUUCCCAUUAAAAAUGGGUUCAGGGUAUAAUAAAAGCUAGGAUAGGAUUGAAAAAUCACUACACAACAUUGGCAACGAUUUGUAUACUAGUGCUUAUGCCUGGGAACUGCUAGUGAUUUCCCUAAGGUAAGCUAAUAGCAAGGAUUUUAUUUUAGGAAGAGAGAGCUCUAAGGAAAAUACGUGAUAAUAUUUAUUAAAAUUAACAAAUAGAACAUAAAACGUACUAUGCAAAGAAUAAUCCGUAGUGCACGCAGGUAAAUUAUGCGGACGGAACCGAAAAAUUAAGACGCAUCAACAAAGAGGUCGAAUCAAUAUUACCGAUAUUCAAUGGAAGAUCAAUAAUCUGAAGCCUACUAUGGUACAACUGGUUUGCCACACACCAAAGUUUAAAUGCAUUAAGGUCAUCUUAAGAUGUAGGUGCACAUUUGCACUGGAAGGCAAAGUUUUACAUCUUCUGCAUAGAUAAAUAUCGUAGAAUGAGACUUACAGCUAGGAAAGUCAUCAUUACGAAAGUCAUUACGAAAGUUGUAGUCGGAUUACUAUGAGAACUUAAUUGUUUGAUAACUUUUUUGUGGAUGUGCUUUCUUCAUAAAACUUUUAAAUCGUGAUAAUAACAUUAAAGUGCGUAUAUGUGCCACGGCACAACUAGUA